rnacentral:misc_RNA from 1 species
GAUGAAGAACGUAGCGAAAUGCGAUAAGUAAUGUGAAUUGCAGAAUUCAGUGAAUCAUCGAAUCUUUGAACGCACAUUGCGCCCGCCAGUAUUCUGGCGGGCAUGCCUGUUCGAGCGUCAUUUCAACCCUCAGGCCCCCAGUGCCUGGUGUUGGGGAUCGGCCCAGCCUUCCUGUAAGGCCGCCGGCCCCGAAAUCUAGUGGCGGUCUCGCUGUAGUCCUCCUCUGCGUAGUAGCACAACCUCGCAGUUGGAACGCGGCGGUGGCCAUGCCGUUAAACACCCCACUUCUGAAAGUUGACCUCGGAUCAGGUAGGAAUACCCGCUGAACUUAAGCAUAUCAAAAGCGGGAGGA